rnacentral:misc_RNA from 1 species
UUUAAGGAAGCUCUUUGUUUUUUGAAAGGGUGCUUUUAUGAGAUAGAGAUUUUUUAGAUAAUGCUUUUUUAGAUAAUGCUGGGGAAGGUUUUCCGGUUUAUCUCGGAGGGCUUGUAGCUCAGUUGGUUAGAGCGCGCGCUUGAUAAGCGUGAGGUCGGAGGUUCAAGUCCUCCCAGGCCCACCAAUUUACCUAUCCAUUUGCUUUUAUCUGUUUAUUUGCCGAUUUAUCGGUCCAUUGAAUUUAAGUGUUGGUAGCAGUUUUAUAAUGAUGAGAAAUCAUGCUUAUAAAAGAACUCCUUAUAAAAGGCUUGUUUUUAAAAUGUGACGCUUAUCCAUUUCGCUUAGGCAAGAGAAACUUCAAGCGGUUCAAAUACAAAAGGCUUUAAGUUUUGCAAAACACUUUGAAUUUUGCAAAACACUUUGAAUUU